rnacentral:tRNA from 1 species
GCACCCAUAGCUCAGUUGGUAGAGCAGAUCCCUCUUAAGGAUAUGGUCCCAGGUUCGAGUCCCGGUGGGUGCACAA